rnacentral:lncRNA from 1 species
CCAAGUUAAUAGCAUACAACGGAAAAAUGCCUACAAAUAAUAUGAUAAAACUUAAGUCACCGAAAUAUCUAUGCUUCCGGAUCUGCAACGUUGACGUCCAAAUCAUUGGUUGAAUUUGUAAUUGACUGAUGUAGAUCUUUCAAGAGGAACUGAACAAACACCGCGACAAAACGUGAAAUCAAACGCCGCACAAGACGACGAACAACAGAACGCCGCACUUAGACGACGAAAUCACAAAAAACACAAAAGGAAAAACUUGAUAGAUG